UACCGGGGGGGCAAGCGUUGUUCGGAAUUACUGGGCGUAAAGCGCGUGUAGGCGGUCCGGUAAGUCCGCUGUGAAAGUCGGGGGCUCAACCCUCGAAUGCCGGUGGAUACUGUCGGGCUAGAGUGCGGAAGAGGCGAGUGGAAUUCCUGGUGUAGCGGUGAAAUGCGCAGAUAUCAGGAGGAACACCAAUUGCGAAGGCAGCUCGCUGGGACGUUACUGACGCUGAGACGCGAAAGCGUGGGGAGCAAACAGG
rnacentral:rRNA from 1 species